UACGUAGGGUGCGAGCGUUAAUCGGAAUUACUGGGCGUAAAGCGUGCGCAGGCGGUUUUGUAAGCCAGAUGUGAAAUCCCCGGGCUUAACCUGGGAAUGGCAUUUGGGACUGCAAGGCUGGAGUGCGGCAGAGGAGACUGGAAUUCCUGGUGUAGCAGUGAAAUGCGUAGAUAUCAGGAAGAAUACCGAUGGCGAAGGCAGGUCUCUGGGCUGACACUGACGCUCAUGCACGAAAGCGUGGGGAGCAAACAGG
rnacentral:rRNA from 1 species